CCGGUCUUUCCUUAAACCCUAAAUCCCUCGCCACCCACAAUCGCUCCCUCGCGCCUCUCCGUCUCUUCCUUCGCGUCAGAUUCCGAUUUUUCCCACAACCCUAAAGCCUACGCCGCCCACAGUCGCUCCCUCGCGCGUCUCCGCCUCUCUUCCCUCUCCAGCUCUCCCUCGCUGCUGCCACCCGUUCCCUCUCUGCUGCCGCUCCCUCGCUGCUGCCUCCGCCGCCUGUUCCCUCCCUGCCGCUGCUUCCUCGCUGUCGCCCCCGCCGCUCGUUUCCUUCCUCGCUGUCGCCGCCCGUUCCUUUGCUGCUGCCGCUCCCUUAAGCAUCUGUAUCUGCAUUGGUUUGAAGUAUAUAUUUUUUGGGAUUGUUGAAGCUAUCCGGAAGCUUAGCAGCCUUAUUCUUACACAAGGACCAAAACUUUGGUUGCAGGUUUUAUCGAGUGGAAGGGAUACAAAGAUGUGUAUCAAAGUCAGGAAACCUUACCAAUAUGUAUAGUAGGCCAGUUACAAAUGAAUCUGCUGACCAGGACAGUGAGAGUGAAGAGAUUGACAUCAGGAAGAUAUUUAAAGACAUUGAAGACUUGGGUGCAUCCAAUAUGCCAUGGAAGGAGCGGAAGCAACUGGAGAAUAGAAAAGUUGUCCACUUAGGUGGAAUGAUUGCAUUGAGACUUUCUACCUCUCAUCAUCUCAUCGACUUGUUGAAUAUGUAUCUGAUUUGAUGAUUGUCUAUGUGAAGCACCGCACGCGUUGAGUGUGGCAAAACCUGCUAUGAAAAAUCAGAAGAAAAGAGAGCUAAAGCAACAGGAACGGCCGGUUCACAAGGAAUCGAUCAAGGACGGACAGUAAAGAUAGGAUGCUGAAGCCGGAGGAGCGGAUUCCGGAUACUGAAAACGAGUGAGGGAAAUUUCAGGAAAGAUGUACUGGAUGUGAGUAUCUGUUGAAACCCAGUGGUAGUAGUGCAUCCAAAAACAGGGAUGAUUUGGAUUACAAGAAGAGCCAUAAAAAAGGAAAAAGAAAAGGGAUGUUCGCACCACCACUAGAUCCAAUAAUUUAUUCAGGGAGGCAAGAACAAGAUGCUUGAAGGGGGAAUUAUCCCAUGCAACUUGUGACGUAAUAUAUAUAUAUAUGCCUCCUUAUGCAAUUUUAAUCGUAUUAAUUAUAGCAACACUCAUUCUUUAAUUAA